UAUUUUCUUAUAUGUUAUAUUUUGAAUUUUUUAAAAUGAUUUUAAAUUACAAAAAUGUAAGUUUUCCUUCAACAUACGACUAAAAGCAUUAAAAUGACAAGUAUCAAUUCGAUGGUUGAUCUGAAACUUUUCAAAACCAUAUGGAAGAUAAAUGUAAAAAUAAUUCAACUAUGGAAAUAGGUAUGGUUCAUUGUUUUUAAGAAUGUUUGGAAAAAAAAAUAAGAUUUUUGUGUCAUAAUUUGUUUAAUUUACAAUCCGAUCAACCCAUGAUAUAUUAAUUAUAGUUUAGUUCUACCAUUUUUAAUAAAAAUUGAUCUGGUCCAUCAGAAAAAAAUUAUGUAAUAACAACAAAAAACAUUGUAUAUGUAUAAAUAAAAUAAUCAAAAAACAAAAAAAAACAUAGUCGAUAAUAUA
rnacentral:lncRNA from 1 species